rnacentral:rRNA from 1 species
UGGGGAAUAUUGCACAAUGGGGGAAACCCUGAUGCAGCGACGCCGCGUGAGCGAAGAAGGUUUUCGAAUCGUAAAGCUCUGUCCUAUGAGAAGAUAAUGACGGUAUCAUAGGAGGAAGCACCGGCUAAAUACGUGCCAGCAGCCGCGGUAAUACGUACGGGGCGAGCGUUGUCCGGAUUUAUUGGGCGUAAAGGGUACGUAGGCGGCCUAUUAAGUCAGGUGUGCAAGCGUUCGGCUUAACCUCAUUAAGCACUUGAAACUGAUAGACUUGAGUGAAUGAGAGUAAAGUGGAAUUCCUAGUGUAGCGGUGAAAUGCCUAGAUAUUAGGAAAAAUACCGGUAACGGAGGCGACUUUCUGGACUUUUACUGUCGCUAAGGUACGAAAGCGUGGAGAGCAAACAGG